UUUUGUGCUCUUACAUUCCUUGUGGUGGAACGUAGUCAGUCUCUGUCAUCUUUUUACAAGCAAAAAAAAUUGUCUUUUGACUAAUCCAAUCAAAACCUGAAAAUGGAUGCGCCGUUAAAUUUACCCGAAUGCUCUAUUUGUUUUGAUUUUUUGGACGAUCCAAGACAGUUGCCUUGUGGACACUGUUAUUGUGGCCCACAUAAACCUUGUUUGGAAAUCUUGAAAAAUGAAAGCCUGUACAGAUGUGCAAUUUGUAAAAUUGAUCAUCAAAUUAUUAUCGAAGACCUGAAGCCAAUGUAUGGACUUAGAGAUUUUCUAAAGGAGCAGCAAGAUGUAACAGAAGGCGCUUUAAAGAAGAUCCUGAUUAUGACUAUAAUGACAACAACAAACCAGCACCGGUUAGAAUGGACAUGUUCAGACAGGAGGACGAGGCAUUGCGAUCUGCGCUCGAUUUUUCGGUGGAAUACCAUUAUCUCUCUUCCCAGGAUAUUUCUAUUAAUCCCGUGAGGAUCGAUUUUCCGUACCACCCAAAUCAAAACGAAAGUCAUAAAAUCUCAUCUGAUUAUCUUAUAAACAAGUUUUGCUUAUUCCAAAUGCGAAUUCAGAAACAAAAUGAUAAACUUAAGGUAUAUCUUGACAUCCGAGGAGCAGAAAGCGGUGUAAAAUACACCGUUUUGUUCAAACGUGCGGUUGGACCCGACUACUGGAUUUGGAGAGACCAGUUACUUGAAGAUAGCAUCAACCAAGAACCAAUAGCUAAAGUUACAAAACUUAACUGGCCGGAACUGCCCGUAAUGAUGCCACCAAAUACUGACUACAAAAUAUCUGCUUCAAUUCAUUUCAUGCCAAUAAAUUUUACUUAGCAAA